GGGUUCGGAAUAAUUUCCGAAGGGUUAACUGGAUGGUCGGGCCGCCAUUCG
rnacentral:ncRNA from 12 species